rnacentral:rRNA from 1 species
UACGUAGGGGGCAAGCGUUAUCCGGAAUAAUUGGGCGUAAAAGGCGCGCAGGCGGUUUUUUAAGUCAUGUGUGAAAGACUGGGGCUCAACCCCAGGGCUGCAUAUGAAACUGGAGAACUUGAGAGCAGGAGAGGGCAGUGGAAUUCCCGGUGUAGCGGUGGAAUGCGUAGAUAUCGGGAGGAACACCAGUGGCGAAGGCGACUGCCUGGCCUGGGACUGACGCUGAGGCGCGAAAGCGUGGGGAGCGAACAGG